rnacentral:misc_RNA from 1 species
GUGAAUCAUCAAAUUUUUGAACGCAAAUUGCACUCUCUUCGGAGAUUAUGCCUGUUUGAGGGUCAGCCUAAAAAAAAAUCGACGUAGUCGCUGUCUCGCGGUGACAUUCGUCGGAAAUUGGGUCAUCUUAAACCUUUGGGUUUUUUAAGCGGCUUAAAAUUUUCUUUACGAUUCCACGGACGUUUCUAAGUUUUUACUUCUUACACACGUUUAAUGUAUCGAUCUUUAUUAGACUUUGCCGUUUCAUCGGAUCGCGUCCAUAAAUAUUUCGUUACCUGACCUCAUACCGGU